GGGGCCUAACACAUGCAGUCGAGCGGUAACAUUUCAAAAGCUUGCUUUUGAAGAUGACGAGCGGCGGACGGGUGAGUAAUGCCUAGGAAAUUGCCCUGAUGUGGGGGAUAACCAUUGGAAACGAUGGCUAAUACCGCAUGAUGCCUACGGGCCAAAGAGGGGGACCUUCGGGCCUCUCGCGUCAGGAUAUGCCUAGGUGGGAUUAGCUAGUUGGUGAGGUAAUGGCUCACCAAGGCGACGAUCCCUAGCUGGUCUGAGAGGAUGAUCAGCCACACUGGAACUGAGACACGGUCCAGACUCCUACGGGAGGCAGCAGUGGGGAAUAUUGCACAAUGGGCGCAAGCCUGAUGCAGCCAUGCCGCGUGUAUGAAGAAGGCCUUCGGGUUGUAAAGUACUUUCAGUCGUGAGGAAGGGGGUAUCGUUAAUAGCGGUAUUCUUUGACGUUAGCGACAGAAGAAGCACCGGCUAACUCCGUGCCAGCAGCCGCGGUAAUACGGAGGGUGCGAGCGUUAAUCGGAAUUACUGGGCGUAAAGCGCAUGCAGGUGGUUCGUUAAGUCAGAUGUGAAAGCCCGGGGCUCAACCUCGGAACUGCAUUUGAAACUGGCGGACUAGAGUACUGUAGAGGGGGGUAGAAUUUCAGGUGUAGCGGUGAAAUGCGUAGAGAUCUGAAGGAAUACCGGUGGCGAAGGCGGCCCCCUGGACAGAUACUGACACUCAGAUGCGAAAGCGUGGGGAGCAAACAGGAUUAGAUACCCUGGUAGUCCACGCCGUAAACGAUGUCUACUUGGAGGUUGUGGCCUUGAGCCGUGGCUUUCGGAGCUAACGCGUUAAGUAGACCGCCUGGGGAGUACGGUCGCAAGAUUAAAACUCAAAUGAAUUGACGGGGGCCCGCACAAGCGGUGGAGCAUGUGGUUUAAUUCGAUGCAACGCGAAGAACCUUACCUACUCUUGACAUCCAGAGAAUCCAGCGGAGACGCAGGAGUGCCUUCGGGAGCUCUGAGACAGGUGCUGCAUGGCUGUCGUCA
rnacentral:rRNA from 1 species